AACGAACGCUGGCGGCAGGCCUAACACAUGCAAGUCGAGCGCACUCCUCGGAGUGAGCGGCGCACGGGUGAGUAACGCGUGGGAAUAUGCCCGGGGGCUGGGGAUAACGGCGGGAAACUGCCGCUAAUACCCGGUACGCCUUGAGAGGGAAAGGAGCAAUCCGCCCUGGGAGUAGGCCGCGUUGGAUUAGCUAGUUGGUGUGGUAAUGGCGCACCAAGGCGACGAUCCAUAGCUGGUCUGAGAGGAUGAUCAGCCACACUGGGACUGAGACACGGCCCAGACUCCUACGGGAGGCAGCAGUGGGGAAUAUUGGACAAUGGGGGCAACCCUGAUCCAGCCAUGCUGCGUGAGUGAAGAAGGCCUUAGGGUUGUAAAGCUCUUUCGACGGGGACGAUGAUGACGGUACCCGUAGAAGAAGCCCCGGCUAACUUCGUGCCAGCCGCCGCCGUAAAAC
rnacentral:rRNA from 1 species